AUUUACUACGUUCUAUUGUCUGGCACUGUUCUAGGUGCUAAGAAUGCACUGGAGAAGAAAUCUGAGCUACUGUUCUUAAAGAAUUUACAUCCUGGGAAAGGCUAUGGUCAGGCAAUCAGACUCCAUAUCAGGAGAUGGGAUAAGGUCGCGUAAGGACGAAGCAGUGGGGAACUUUGGUGAGAAGAAGCAAUACCGAAGAGUGAAGCAAGAGUUCCCACAGAAUCGCCACAAGAGACCAAGAUGCAAAGCAGGAGUUAGACAGCCAUCAAGACAAGAGUACUUUACCAGUUUUCACAGGACAUAGAGCCAUAGAGUGUUCUUGGGGGAACCGGGACUCCAGUCGCCAUUUGUGUCGUGUGGAAUUUGAAGCAUUUGGUGGACAGCGAGGUGGAGACGCAUAAGAAGCACUUGGGUACACAGAACGGAUGCUCGGGAAAGGUGAGA